ACUGAUCAAUGAUGUGACUUUUUUUCUUUGUGGACUGUUGGAUGAAGCUUACGGAUAUGGGACUGAGAUCAGAU
ensembl:snoRNA